UACGUAGGGUGCGAGCGUUGUCCGGAAUUAUUGGGCGUAAAGGGCUCGUAGGCGAUCUGUUGCGUCGGGAGUGAAAACUCAGGGCUUAACCCUGAGCCUGCUUCCGAUACGGGCAGACUAGAGGUAUGCAGGGGAGAACGGAAUUCCUGGUGUAGCGGUGAAAUGCGCAGAUAUCAGGAGGAACACCGGUGGCGAAGGCGGUUCUCUGGGCAUUACCUGACGCUGAGGAGCGAAAGUGUGGGGAGCGAACAGG
rnacentral:rRNA from 1 species